GAUGAACGCUGGCGGCGUGCCUAAUACAUGCAAGUCGAGCGAACAGACGAGGAGCUUGCUCCUCUGACGUUAGCGGCGGACGGGUGAGUAACACGUGGAUAACCUACCUAUAAGACUGGGAUAACUUCGGGAAACCGGAGCUAAUCCCGGAUAAUAUAUUGAACCGCAUGGUUCAAUAGUGAAAGACGGUUUUGCUGUCACUUAUAGAUGGAUCCGCGCCGCAUUAGCUAGUUGGUAAGGUAACGGCUUACCAAGGCAACGAUGCGUAGCCGACCUGAGAGGGUGAUCGGCCACACUGGAACGGAGACACGGUCCAGACUCCUACGGGAGGCAGCAGUAGGGAAUCUUCCGCAAUGGGCGAAAGCCUGACGGAGCAACGCCGCGUGAGUGAUGAAGGUCUUCGGAUCGUAAAACUCUGUUAUGAGGGAAGAACAAAUGUGUAAGUAACUAUGCACGUCUUGACGGUACCUAAUCAGAAAGCCACGGCUAACUACGUG
rnacentral:rRNA from 1 species